rnacentral:rRNA from 1 species
CCCUUAGAUGUUCUGGGCGGCCCGCGCACUACAUUGGCACUCUCAAUAAGUUCCUAGAUCUAAAACUUUGGGGUAUUCUAUUAAGUGGUGUCGUGACUGGGAUUAACCCUUGCAAUUAUUGGUUACGAACGAGGAAUUCCUUGUAAUCGCGGUUUAUCAGCCCGCGUUGAAUGCGUCCCUGCCCUUUGUACACACCGCCCGUCGCUCCUACCGAUGAAUCGUCCGGUGAAGUUCAUGGAGUUGUGGUUGUUCCAGCUGCUGUCGAAGUGAAAUGGACCUCACGAUUUAGAGGAAGGAGAAGUCGUAACA